CUGCCCUUCAAGUGGACCACAGCUUGAAAUAGGCACCAGAACAAGACAGCAGACCUUGUGCAAUGCACUCUCCCACGGGCCUCCCAUUCCAAUUUCCCCUUUUUAAGCCUUUCUCCCCAGCCUAAAGUUUUAAGAGGUUUCUGGAGGCGUAAGGAUUCUAUUUAUGUUUAAUGAACAAAAAAAUUAGUUUCAAUGAAAACUUUAUUUGAAAUGAUGAAUUCAAGCUAUUACCAGCCUCCCAAGUAAGAUGCCAGAGACUUCAAACACUGCUGUUGUUUCUCAAGGAAAAGAUCCAGUUAACAAGGAAUCAUUCUCUCUUCUUCAAUAGCUGCUUACGAAAUAAAAACAUCAGUAGGAGGGGAAGGAGGAAGGAAGGAGAAGAAAGAGGAAGAAUAGGAGGAGAAGAGGAAGAGAGGAAGAAGUGAACAGCCCUCCUGCAUUUUGCAUCAGGUAGAAAAGUCAGUUGAAUGUUGGGAAGAACACAAAUACUCACACAUCCUCCCCAUUCUCUGAGUUCCCACAAAGACUGUUAUUGCUGGGGCUCAUAAAAUUAUACUCCAAAGUAUGAUGCUUUGGCAUCCAGAGUGCUUUGAACUAUAGGAGAUUGAAGGCCCCAGAAGCCAAGUUUCCCUCUGACCUCCUGCCUCCCUGUCUCCCACCCCCUACUUUUCCCCUGAAGUGAGUCCUGGAAACCAGAAUUCUUCUUGCCCAAAGCAAGCCGUGACACCCUGGAAAUAUCACUCUAACCUUCCUUGCCUUUCCGUGUGGCAGCUGGCCAUGAAGAAAUUCUCUGACCUACCUUGUUUGAUAGCAGAUCACAAGACCCUGGUUCCAGAGCGGUCCUGCUUUACACCGAAGGAAAGGAAUGUCAUACAGAAAGGCCAAGAAGAAUCUGAAGAGAUGUCCAAUCACCUUUUCACGUGGCUGCCCAUUCUUCAUUGAACCUAAGCAUUAAAAUAGACAGUUUCCCCUGGGUCUUUGGGUCUUCAUUUCUGAAGACUCCAUGUCAUGUAAAACUUUGAUUAAAUAAAUGUAUCAUGCAUUACUUUUGCUAACCUGUCUUUUGUUAUAGGAGUGUCGCCUGUG
rnacentral:lncRNA from 1 species